ensembl:lncRNA novel transcript, antisense to ZNF57
GGGUCUAAUACAGUUCGAAAUGAAAAUAUUUAAGAGACAAAACACUUAACUAUUAAAACUUAGGUACUAUAGCUGAAAGAGGACUUAGAGAAUUAUUUUCUCACAUAAACAUUUAUUUUUGAAAGAGCUGGAAAUUCACGACUAAUGGGUCUGUUUUACAAAUGAGGUAUUGACAAAGACAAUAUCAUACUUGUAAGAUUUCUCUCCUGGUGUGAAUUUUCUGGAGCAUUAUACAUGAAUUAAUGUGAGGUUACCCCAUUAAAGUUAUAGAAUUUCUCUUUAGUGUGUGCUCUCACUGGUUUUAGAAAGAAUGACUUGGCAACUGAAGGCUUUUGAGUAUGACUGACAUUCGUGGGAUUUCUGUCCUGUGUGCAUCCUCAGAUGGUUCCGGAAGGAGGAGUGCCACUUGAAGGACAUCCCACAUUGUUUACAUUUGUGAGGUUUCUCUCCAGUGUGCAUCCUCACAUGAUUAUGUAAGGUUGAGGACCAAGUGAAGGUUUUUCCACAUUGUUUACACUCAUAAGGCUUCUCUCCAGUGUGCAUCCUCAAAUGACCUUGGAAUGCUCUGGAAGAGGUAAAGGCCUUCCCACAGUGUUCACAUUUAUGGAGCUGCUCUUGCGUGUGAAUUCUCACAUGUUCUCUAAACGUUGAGGACCAAGUGAAGGUUUUUCCACAUUGUUUACACUCAUAAGGCUUCUCUCCAGUGUGCGUCCUCAAAUGACCUCGGAAUGAUCUGGAAGAGGUAAAAGCCUUCCCACAUUGUUCACAUUUAUAGAGCUGCUCUUGCGUGUGAAUUCUCACAUGUUCUCUAAACGUUGAGGACCAAGUGAAGGCUUUCCCACAUUGUUUACACUCAUAAGGUUUCUCUCCAGUGUGCGUCCUCAAAUGACCUUGGAAUGAUCUGGAAGAGGUAAAAGCCUUCCCACAGUGUUCACAUUUAUAGAGUUUGUCCCCAGUGUGGAUCCUCAUGUGGACUCGCAAGGUUUCAGACCAACUGAAUGUUUUCCCACACUGCUUGCAUUCAUAGGGCUUCUCUCCCGUGUGCGUCUUCUCAUGUCUUUGAAAAGCCUGGGGGUAAGUGAAGGCUUUCCCACAGUGCUGACAUUUAUAGGGCUUCUCUCCAGUGUGUGUUGUCAUGUGUCUUUGAAAUGUCGAGGGAUAAAUGAAGGCUCUCCCACAUUCCUGACAUUUAUAUGGCCUGUCUUUUGUGUGAGUUCUCACAUGUCUAGUGAAGCUUGCGAACCCAUUAAACGCCAUCCGACACUGCUCGCAUUUGUAGGUUUUCUCUGCUGUGUGAGUCUUUACGUGGUGGGAGAGGUAACGAGGAUGUUGGAAAGUUUGCCCACAUGCUUGACACUUAUACGGCUUCUCCUCAGUGUCAGUUCUUCCGUGACUGUGUAGGUGUGAGGGACAAAUGCAGGCCUGCUUACAUUCCUCACCUGGAGGUGCUUUUCGUCCACAGUGAGACUUGACGUGCCUUUUAAGAGAAGAAAGAUGCGUGAAGACUGUCCUGCACUUGGUGCAUUCAUAUGGUUUUUCUCCAGCAGAAACUUUCUUGUGCAGGAACUGAUGAGAAAGAAAUGAGUUCAUUAAAAACCAAGGGAAGGAAUGAUGCCAUCCUCACCUACUGAGGCCAGGUUCCGGAAGGUCUCCAGCAUCACAUCUCUGUAGAGGUCCCUCUGAGCAGAAUCCAGCAAAGCCCACUCCUCCAGGGUGAAGUCCACAGCCACAUCCUCAAAGACCACUGAGUCCUAAGACAAACCACACAGGUGUGCAGGAGGAUUGGAGACACUGAAAGUACUGGGGAACUGGACUCAAUUCAUAAAUUCAAACAAGAUUCUGUGGUGUCCCAACACCUCCUCUAUGACGCGAAUGUUAG